UGAUGAGAGAUCACGAAGACACAGAAACACACACACAGAGGACCCGGCCCCCACCUCCCCAAGCUACCUGCAGAUGCAGAAAUAAAGGUUCCUCGAAUGUCAUCCACUGCCCCUUCUUUAGAGUCAAGGCAACCUAAUCCCAGCAAGUAUUUGGGCAAGGGAAGAAGAGUUAUUUGGGGUGGGGGUGGGGAGAUGAGAGAGACCGUUUCCCCCGCAAACAUGUUGUGACAUGUCAUAAGGGUGCCUGUUUUGAUAAACACAUAAUUAGUGCCAGGAUGUAUGAGCAGCUGCGUAAAAAGGCGCAACUUAGAUAAUAGCGGCUGCAGCAGCAGCACACACCCAAGGAGCGGAUUUGCAAAGCUUUUAAAGCGGUCACUAGGGCCCCCAUUGGCUGAAGGGGGCCCAGCCGGAUGGGGGGGGUCAGGCAAAUGGGAGCGUGGAGGGAGGGAGGGAACGCCCUCCCCACGCAGACACCCACCCACAUCCACACAAAGAAAGGGGGGAGCAGCAAGUGAUUCCUAAGGACAGAAGACGCCAUCGUUUUAUACACCUCUUUUUAUUUUGUUUUUCUGUCCAAAAAUGGGGCAAAGGAAGAGACUGGUCAUUCUACGCUGAACAUUAGGUGGUGGUUGUGGGGAGAAAGUCUUAAGUCCUUCCAAGAUUCUCUUGUUCUCUCUCUCUGCCUCCCUUCCGAAAUCAGAGAGGGAACAAUACGAUCUCUCCUUAAUGGAGGUUCUCCCCCCGCUUUAAAUUUCUCCAUUUCCCCCAAACCUCCUCCCCCUGCUCCCCAAACGGAGCUUCCAGUUUCCUGUUGCAAAGGGGCGGCAAGAGGGGUUAAGGAAAGAAAGAGAGAGAGAGAGAAAAAGAGAUCCCCCCACUCGUCUACCCUAGAAACGGAGAAAAAAGGAGGCAGGGAAGACCAUUGCGUCCCAAGCUGCCUUUGUGCUGCCUCUCCGGGAUCGACAGACUAAACAAACCCUUUUCCCGCGCCUCUGCCAUAGCGAGGGCGGGUGAGAGAGAGAGAGAGAGAUCGUGGGGCGAAAGGAUCUUCCGUUCUCCAACUUCGGCUUCCACACAAAGGAUCGGAGGAAUCUCUUCCGCCUCCCUAGCCUCCUCGGCCUCCAGAUCCAGGCGCCGGAGCUGUGCGCCCGGCCGUCGGCUAGAACGCAGAAGUUAAUUUUAUUUUUUUGUAUUUUUACACUGGACUAUUUUCCCCUCGGAAACAGGCAAGCGAAGAGCCGCAGCGCCUCCUUCGUCUUGGCCAGCGAGGGAAGAAGCUCCGGCUCGGAGGGGAGCAGCGGCCUCGGCGGGAGACGAAGCUGCUGCGCUCGGCUGGCUCGGAAGCGAGUCGCCGGCCGGCCAUCUUCGCGGCCUCUUUGCUUUCUUCCCGCGCUGACCCGCGCCCUCUUUUACCCUGGGUUUGGCUGGUUGGGGAAGCCGCCUUGUGCUCACCUUCCUGGGCUCCGAUUUCUCCGAGGAGCAAAAACAAAAGCAAAACAAAAAGAGCCGUAUGUAUGUUGGGGAGGAAGGAGGGCCGGGAGGAGCAGCAACAGCAGGAGGCCUGGGUUUCUACAAACUCGUCCCCCUCGCCAAAGCCGAUCGCUCUCUCCCUAGGAUCGGUGCGGUUUCGCGAUUGGAUCCCAGCCCCCCCCCCCUUUGAAAAGCGCCCCUCUUAAGUGUGUGCGAUCUCUCCCUGCUUGAUCAAAAAGAGAUCAUACUCGGUGAUUGCUAGCAAACUGUGCGCAGAGGCAAAUGCUCCCUCUCCCCCCUUCCAAAUAGCCCCUUUUCACGGUUUAAUUAAAAAAUAAAGAAAUGGGAGAGUUAAGGAGAAAGGUGCCUACGGGAUCCCUGGUCGAUGGAACAAAAUAGACAGUAGCAACCAGCGUUUCCCCUCCGUUUUUCCUAGCAGUGGAUGAGUUUCACCCAUUAAUAGUAUAUGAGCGCACCAGAAAGAGGCAAGGAAACAACGUUUUCACAACAAAAUUCCGACCGGCAAGGAAAUCUGAAAAGGAUCUAGCAAAAGAGGCCUGGGAAUGGGGAGAAGAGAACGCCGGGGAGUUGCAAAAAAAGGCUGUCCGGGUCCGAGGCCUCCUUCCUAAAGCAGUUGCCGCCGCCGCCCCCUCCAGCUGCCGCCGCCUCGCCAACCCGUCCUUUCACUACCUCUUUUGUUAACAGAAAAGUCAAUCCCUUUAAUUAAAAAUCGUUAAAUAAAUCUAUCUCUUUACUAGCACAAAUAUACUUUCUAUACCGAAUUUGCAAAGACAUCGAUAGGUUCUCGCGCGGCGAGGUCCAAAGAUAAUUUGAUUUGAGGAGGAAGAGAAAAGAAAAGAAACAAGGGACUUUAAAAUAUAACAGAUGCACAUCUACAUGCUUUUUGGCCUCUUCAGAAAAACAGAAAUGCUUUUCUUUGUACAGAAACUCCUGGGUGUCUGAGCAAGCCUUUUUUGUCCGAGGCACUAGAUUUCUCAGAUUUCUUCUCACGGCGCAACCCUGCACAUGUUUACUCGGGAGUAAGCGCCCCGGUGCUGCCUAUGGGGGUGCUGAGUAAGGCCCGCACCCGGACGAGGGAGUAAGUCUUAUCGAAAUUACUUGAGAAUAAACAUGCAUCGGAUUAUUGCUCAGUUUCUUACUCUUCGAGCGGGAAACAAAAGCGAGGCCUGAACAAAGCAGAUCGCAGGGAGCCAAGCUUAAAAACGGGCGUAAAGAAAAAGUCCGGUACUUGGGAGUGUGGCAAUUGGGAAGCGAGGUGGGGUUUUUUAUUUUUUAAAAAAAUGCUUUUGCAAGCAACUUUAAAUCGGGGUUUUGAUUAUACAAAGAAAGGGGAGAAGAAGGGCGAUUUGCGUUUCGAUUCAAAGGCUAUCUUUAAAACAUUGCCUGCGAGUCGCGGCCAACGUUUGGAAGGGGGUUCUUCUUUCCUUCCUGCAACAACGUGGAGGCGCCGCGGAUUUUGUUCUAAGCCAAGUCUUUGUAGCUCGGACUGCUGGUACGCUUCAAAAGCAAAAUGUCCCCCUUAUUAAUCUUUUUUAAACGGGGAGCCCUCCUGCCCCCUUCUAAACUGACCACAGUUCUAUGCAAGGGCAUCACAUUAGUUUUAUUGAUGUUGUUUACAAAGUUAACAAAAAAGAGGAGGCGAAGAAAUGUCCAUUUCCACGCAACCUUGCAAAACGGUGUGGGCUAUCUCCUAGCAGCCCGAUUUCAAAAUUAUUAAGAGAUAAGCGAGGUGAUACCGCUACGGGGAACCAACUCGGGUUUUCUAAAAGGAUGUGUGAAGCCCUGUACCUCUUUUUUGUGGGUGCGGGCAUUUUAAGUGGAGGUGUGUGUGUGUAACCCCCCCCACACACAUUUAAACACAAAACCGUAACUUGGGGGCAAUAAAUUGUACACUCUUCCUCAAUGAAUAAAGUUCCUUUACAGCGCCAAAGUAAA